rnacentral:rRNA from 1 species
CAGCAGCCGCGGGAAAACGAAGGGGGCUAGCGUUGUUCGGAAUUACUGGGCGUAAAGGGUGCGUAGGCGGCUUGACAAGUCUUGUGUGAAAUCUAUGGGCUCAACCCAUAGUCUGCACGGGAAACUGUCGGGCUUGAGAAUGGGAGAGGUGAGUGGAAUUUCCGGUGUAGCGGUGAAAUGCGUAGAUAUCGGAAGGAACACCUGUGGCGAAAGCGGCUCACUGGACCAUUUCUGACGCUGAUGCACGAAAGCUAGGGGAGCAAACAGGAUUAGAUACCCCCGUAGUCCCUGUCUCUUAUAC